rnacentral:tRNA from 1 species
CUGGGUGUGGCGUAGUUUGGUAGCGCGCUUGAAUGGGGUUCAAGAGGUCGCAAGUUCGAAUCUUGUCACCCAGA